UACGUAGCAGCAAGCGUUGUUCGGAAUUACUGGGCGUAAAGAGUGUGUAGGCGGUGCUCUAAGUUCGGUGUGAAAUCUCCCGGCUUAACUGGGAGGGUGCGCCGGAAACUGGAGUGCUCGAGCGUGGGAGAGGAGAGCGGAAUUCCGUGGUGUAGCGGUGAAAUGCGUAGAUAUCAGGAGGAACACCGGUGGUGUAGACGGCUUUCUGGACCGUAACUGACGCUGAGACACGAAAGCGUGGGUAGCAAACAGG
rnacentral:rRNA from 1 species